rnacentral:misc_RNA from 1 species
GAUGAAGAACGUAGCGAAAUGCGAUAAGUAAUGUGAAUUGCAGAAUUCAGUGAAUCAUCGAAUCUUUGAACGCUCAUUGCGCCCGCCAGCAUUCUGGCGGGCAUGCCUGUUCGAGCGUCAUUUCAACCCUCAAGCUCUGCUUGGUGUUGGGGCCCUACGGUUGACGUAGGCCCUUAAAGGUAGUGGCGGACCCUCUCGGAGCCUCCUUUGCGUAGUAACUAACGUCUCGCAUUGGGAUUCGGAGGGACUCUUGCCGUAAAACCCCCAAAUUUUCUAAUGGUUGACCUCGGAUCAGGUAGGAAUACCCGCUGAACUUAAGCAUAUCAAUAAGCGGAGGA